GAGUCGGCCGGGCAGUCGCGUCGCGCAAGCGUCGAGGAAAGUCCGGGCUCCACAGGGCAGAGUGCCAGGUAACGCCUGGGCGGCGUGAGCCGACGGAAAGUGCAACAGAGAGCAGACCGCCGAUGGCCUUAGGGCACAGGCAAGGGUGAAAGGGUGCGGUAAGAGCGCACCGCGCCGGUGGUAACACUCGGCGGCACGGCAAACCCCACUCGGAGCAAGGCCAAAUAGGGGAGCGAUGGUGCGGCCCGCACCGCUCCCGGGUAGGCUGCUUGAGCCCGUCGGUGACGGCGGGCCGAGAGGAAUGACUGCCUUUAACAGAACCCGGCUUACAGGCCGGCUCCC
rnacentral:RNase_P_RNA from 1 species